AAAAUUUUUCAAAAUCGUCUUCUUCCCUAAAAUCACAGCAGUUGUUGCUCUAAAAUUUAACAAAAUUUAAGAAUUAUAUAUCUUUUUUAAAACACUAAAAAAUUCUAAGUACCUUUUUUUUAAACGACUGAAAACUAACCAUCUUUUUCCCCCCUUUCUUUUUCACCCUUUGUUUGGAGAAUUAGUUUUGCCUACUACAAAAUUGCUGUUCUUAAAAUAUGGAUUUCAUCAUUGCCCAAUUGAAGCAUCCCAGCUAAGCAGGCAAUUUGGGACAUUGUUAUAUAUAUAAUGUGGCAGCUUUUGAUUGGUUCUUCUUAACUAACAAAUAUAAUUUAAUUUAUAACCUUGAAUGUGAAUUAUUUGAUCCUUGACAGGUGGAUUUUGUGAUAAGAAAAUGAAAUUGAACAUGUUACAUUGCUUCGAACGUUGUGUUAUUGAUAAGGACAAAGCUUAAAACGCUAGGCCUUAUCUGUUUAGCCAUUAUUAUAUUCAAAGGAGGGCUUACUAAGUUCUAAUUAGCAUUGUGUUAUAGCAAAUAUCGAUUGAGCAAUUUUAAAAGUCUGAGCUUUUCUGCGAGCAAAAGCAUCCCUGAAGAGAAACACUUUUAGACUUCUGGAGUUCAAAUCCAAUUCAAUUUUUUUUUUCUUUUUUCUUUUUUCAAUAUUACAAUAUAAUUUUGUAGUUGUCUUUAAAAGAGUGUUGAGAUCCUUCACAACGUUGUUACGUUGAAGUUCAACCCACAAGUAAUCUUCUUUGUUGGAGCCAUCGUAAAAAUCCAGCUAUAUUCUCACAAUACUAAUUAACCAUCCAAAAACAAGCAUUGAAUUUUCAAUAAGGUGUUAGCCUAACAUAAAUUAAAUGAAUAUUGAAUUAUAUGAAUAUUAUUACUACGGUGAUGCGGCUAUCUAUCUAAGCAAUGACCAAAUCAUUGAAAUGUGGUCUCUUUGACCUCUAAUAUUAGGCGAGCAAAUUGAAAAAUGAAUAGCCGCCAAAGCAGAGUUGACGCCAAUUUAGACCCCUUUCUAUUUAAUUGACCUUUAAAACUCAUUGUGUUAAUGUGUACAGAUAAAACUGUAGAAACUUUGACCGCCGGCUCCAUCCCUAUCAAAAUUUGCACGAUCCCAUCGUAAGAAAUGAUCCAAAAAUUAUGAAUCUGGUUGUCGUAUUUUGAAUAUGCAAUCGAGAUGUGGAGUUUAAACGUUGGGUUCUUUAUAUCACUAUUAUUAAAAUAUCAAAAUGAUCAUUUCAUUAUUGGUCCGGCGAUAACAGACAAUCAAUGUCUCCCAUUUUGUUACCAAUCCUUUUUUUAUUUUUCCCCUAAAAACUCUCAUUAAAAGGGUAAAGAAGUCAAUAACUAAUAUCACAAACUUUCAUUAAAAAAGUAAAAAAGUUAAGGAAAAUAUUUGGUGUAGAGAAACACGCGAGAAAGACGAGAGCAACAAUGAAUAAAAGGGUAGAGAGAGAGAGAAAAAAAAAUUACUUGUAUUACAAAACCAUAACAGAUAUAGGAAAGACUGACUCAAUUCAAAUAUUUUUAUAAUUGUGGGAACUUAAACUAACUCUCAUAAUAUUUUUUGUGAAAGUUCAAACCCUUGCUCUUACACUACAUAUUAUGAGUGUAAUGAUUCUCCCACUAACUCAAAAACCCAUUAGUGUCAUAAAAACAAUACUUAAGAAAAUCUGUCAAAUCCUACUUAAAAUUAUGCCUAACAACAUAAAUUCUAACUAUAUUCACUACAAAUCCCUCGUCACGGAGAAGAAAACAAUUAUAUCAAACAUUGAUUGAAGCAAUGAAUAUUGACAGUAUAUAAUGAAAUCAAAUUAUUAAUUCUUUGUCGUACCAAAUCCUUUGUAUUCUCCUUGCUAUAUGUUAAUGAUAUGAGGCCAAAUAUACUUGGAACGCCCACAACUAAUUAGAAUUUUAUUCGUAUUCUGUUAGAUAGAAUUAAAUUUGAUUUUUUUUCUUAAACCAAUCAUAAUUAAAAUUUUUAGAUAUUAUUGCAUUAGUCCCUGUGGCUUCGCCCAUGCAUAAGUGAACAUAAAAUUUACACAAUGUGCCACCUAGACGAUUGGCAUGGAGAUUCAUUACGAAGGGAAAGACAUAAAUCUUACUUGUAUUGGGCGCAGACUUGAAGUUGUUACCUCUAUUAAUAUUUCACAAUGAAAAUAUUGAUUAAU
rnacentral:lncRNA from 1 species